AUUGAACGCUGGCGGCAUGCCUUACACAUGCAAGUCGAACGGUAGAGGGGGCAACCCCUCGAGAGUGGCGAACGGGUGAGUAAAGCAUCGGAACGUGCCCAGUAGUGGGGGAUAGCCCGGCGAAAGCCGGAUUAAUACCGCAUACGACCUACGGGUGAAAGGGGGGGAUCGCAAGACCUCUCGCUAUUGGAGCGGCCGAUGUCAGAGUAGGGAGUUGGUGGGGUAAAGGCCUACCAAGCCGACGAUCUGUAGCUGGUCUGAGAGGACGACCAGCCACACUGGGACUGAGACACGGCACAGACUCAUACGGGAGGCAGCAGUGGGGAAUUUUGGACAAUGGGCGCAAGCCUGAUCCAGCCAUGCCGCGUGCGGGAAGAAGGCCUUCGGGUUGUAAACCGCUUUUGUCAGGGAAGAAAUCCUCUGGGCUAAUACCUCGGGGGGAUGACGGUACCUGAAGAAUAAGCACCGGCUAACUACGUGCCAGCCGCCGCAGUAACAC
rnacentral:rRNA from 1 species